CCUAGUUGUAUGAUACUGCAAGGCUGGUCUAAAGAAUUUUGCUAUAUAAUACCAAUGGAUCCAAUUGCUACAUAUGUGAAAAAAGUCCCUACAUCCUGCACACAGGAGUUGUGCCACUCAUGUGCACGCAGCAUGAUUUAUUUAUACAAGUGUUUCUCUGGAGAAUGAGCUGUUACUCUCUUCCUCUAUCAGUAAAUGCAAUCUCACCACAA